rnacentral:rRNA from 1 species
CAGCCGCGCGGUAAAACGGAGGGUGCAAGCGUUAAUCGGAAUUACUGGGCGUAAAGCGCACGCAGGCGGUCUGACAAGUCAGAUGUGAAAUCCCCGGGCUUAACCUGGGAACUGCAUUUGAAACUGUCAGGCUGGAGUCUUGUAGAGGGGGGUGGAAUUCCAGGUGUAGCGGUGAAAUGCGUAGAGAUCUGGAGGAAUACCGGUGGCGAAGGCGGCCCCCUGGACAAAGACUGACGCUCAGGUGCGAAAGCGUGGGGAGCAAACAGGAUUAGAUACCCCUGUAGUCCCUGUCUCUUAUACC